rnacentral:tRNA from 2 species
GCGCGUGUAGCUCAGUUGGUUAGAGCGCUAGGUUGUGGCCCUGGAGAUCGGCGGUUCAAAUCCGCUCAGUCACCCGCU